rnacentral:RNase_P_RNA from 1 species
GGAGUCGGCCAGACAGUCGCGUCAUUCGCAAGAAUGCCGAGGAAAGUCCGGGCUCCACAGGGCACGGUGCCAGGUAACGCCUGGGCGGCGCGAGCCGACGGAAAGUGCAACAGAGAGAGACCGCCGAUGGCCCGCAAGGGCACAGGCAAGGGUGAAACGGUGCGGUAAGAGCGCACCGCGAGUCCGGCAACGGACCGGCACGGCAAACCCCACCGGGAGCAAGACCAAAUAGGGAGGCUAUGCCGCGGCCCGCGGUGCCUCCGGGUAGGUUGCUUGAGCGCAGGCGGUGACGCCUCGCCUAGAGGAAUGACUGUCCACGACAGAACCCGGCUUACCGGCCGGCUCCGCCG